rnacentral:rRNA from 1 species
UACGUAGGUGGCAAGCGUUGUCCGGAUUUAUUGGGCGUAAAGAGCUCGUAGGCGGCUUGGCAAGUCGGGUGUGAAAACUCCAGGCUCAACCUGGAGAUGCCACUCGAGACUGCUAUGGCUAGAGUCCGGUAGGGGACCACGGAAUUCCUGGUGUAGCGGUGAAAUGCGCAGAUAUCAGGAGGAACACCGAUGGCGAAGGCAGCCCCCUGGGCCGACAUUGACGCUCAGGCACGAAAGCGUGGGGAGCAAACAGG